rnacentral:rRNA from 1 species
UACAGAGGAUGCAAGCGUUAUCCGGAAUGAUUGGGCGUAAAGCGUCUGUAGGUGGCUUUUUAAGUCCGCCGUCAAAUCCCAGGGCUCAACUCUGGACAGGCGGUGGAAACUACCAAGCUGGAGUACGGUAGGGGCAGGGGGAAUUUCCGGUGGAGCGGUGAAAUGCGUAGAGAUCGGAAAGAACACCAACGGCGAAAGCACUCUGCUGGGCCGACACUGACGCUGAGGAGCGAAAGCCAGGGGAGCAAACGGG